GCUUGUCUCAAAGAUUAAGCCAUGCAUGUCUCAGUAUAAGUUCUUAUAUGGCGAAACUGCGAAUGGCUCAUUACAACAGUUAUAGUUUAUUUGAUGGUUGCUUACUACAUGGAUAACCGUAGUAAUUCUAGAGCUAAUACAUGCAUCAACUCCCAACUGCUUCGCGGAAGGGAUGUAUUUAUUAGAUUGAAACCAAUGCACUUCGGUGGUAUUGUGGUGAAUCAUGAUAACUUUGCGGAUCGUAUGGCUUCACGCCGACGAUGAAUCAUUCAAGUUUCUGCCCUAUCAGCUUUGGAUGGUAGGGUAUUGGCCUACCAUGGCUUUGACGGGUAACGGAGAAUUGGGGUUCGGUUCCGGAGAGGGAGCCUGAGAGAUGGCUACCACAUCCAAGGAAGGCAGCAGG
rnacentral:rRNA from 1 species